UACGAAGGGGGCUAGCGUUGCUCGGAAUCACUGGGCGUAAAGGGUGCGUAGGCGGGUCUUUUAAGUCAGGGGUGAAAUCCUGGAGCUCAACUCCAGAACUGCCUUUGAUACUGAGGAUCUUGAGUUCGGGAGAGGUGAGUGGAACUGCGAGUGUAGAGGUGAAAUUCGUAGAUAUUCGCAAGAACACCAGUGGCGAAGGCGGCUCACUGGCCCGAUACUGACGCUGAGGCGCGACAGCGUGGGGAGCAAACAGG
rnacentral:rRNA from 1 species